GACCCAGUUUAUGUUGGAGCCGCAACCAUGCUACCCAUUCAUGUGGGCCGUUUCAUAUUCAAAACGAUGAUGUUAUAGAUGUCACUUGACUCUAGAUAUUUAUAUAUUUGACACAGGUAUAAGAUAUACCGAGAUUCAUUAUUAUUUUGCUCAUAUUUGGCAAUAAACUUUUGAAUUCAAUUCAUUGGUGAGGCAAGACUGGAAAGAAACAUGGCAGCCAAAAUUGCAGCAUUGGUGGUUUUGUUAGCUGUGACAUUGGUGUACAUAUUAAAACCAGAGCUCAUUUUCAUGGAUGAAGUUAUAUUCUUAGAUUUGCUCAGCACUCAUCCUGUUAUUGGUGGUGUGGCACUCUUGGCAAUUAUCUGCUUGGCUUUGGUACUAUUUUUUUGGAAGUAGAAAAUGGCCAGCUUGGUUGACUUAUCCAAUGGAAAGGGCAUGCUGACUUGUACACCGACUUGAGGUAUGAGUAACCUGAAUCAAAGAUGACCACAUCAGCCAGUAAAAUCACUUAAAACAUUCACUGCAUGUUGGGAAAAUAUUAUCUUGUAAGAUAUUGUCACUUCUCAGAGGGACCUUACUGUGCCUGAACUGAAUUAAGUUUUACACAUGGAUUCAUAAUGUGUGCAUUUGGUAUUUGGUUAUGCUGCAGGAUGCAUUAUCUUUUAAGGUUGUACACUUACCAAAGCUUAGUUUCCUUUCAGUAAUUGAAGAUUUUUUUAAGGGUUUGCCCUCAUGCAAUCCAGGCAUUUACUGCAUUUGUCUUUCAUUCUUUUGUUGUUUAAUAUUUUCAUCACCUGAAUUAUGAUUUUAUUUAUUUUUUUUUUACCUAGAACUAUAUUUCAGUUUGAUGUAUGUAAAUCCAAACUGCCUGCCAGCACAUCAUUCUUAAUAUAUCUGAAUAUAGAUUUUUCAUUAGAAAAAAACUUUUAAACAGAAUUUAUUGAUUUAUUUGGAUUUAUUGAUGUGUUAGUUAAGGAAGAAAAUAUCUGCGUAAAGAAUUAAAAAUACCCAAUGAAUUAUGGAAUUUUA